rnacentral:rRNA from 1 species
AGGGUUUGAUUAUGGCUCAGGACGAACGCUGGCGGCGUGCUUAACACAUGCAAGUCGAGCGGGGAUAUUGAUGGAAGUUCUUCGGAAUGGAAAUUGAUAUUCCAGCGGCGGACGGGUGAGUAACGCGUGAGCAAUCUGUCCCAGACAGGGGGAUAACAGAUGGAAACAUCUGCUAAUACCGCAUAAGACCACGAGGAGACAUCUUCUUGAGGUAAAAGGAGCAAUCCGGUUUGGGGUGAGCUCGCGUCCGAUUAGCUAGUUGGCGAGGUAACGGCCCACCAAGGCGACGAUCGGUAGCCGACCUGAGAGGGUGAUCGGCCACAUUGGAACUGAGACACGGUCCAA